AUUGAAAACAUUGUAUUAAAUUUUACUUAUUUUUUAAAGCUCCCAAAUGAAGGACAACAAAUAUUAUUAAUACAACUUUUUAAAAAGCACUAUUCAAAUAUACUAAUUUGUUAGUAAUCAUUGUGUUUUGUGACUGUUUACAAUCCCAAACACUGAGAGGACAAGAGCGAACAGCUUGGUGCCAGCCAUUGCUAUUCUAAGAAAAAUCACUCAUCUGAAUGAGUAUCAGCAGGAUUUCAUGUUCAUGUUAUUAUUCUCAAAUACAGGAUAAGGAUAUGGAUUAAGAAGUAUUUAAAAUUGAAAUAAAAAUGCUUCUUUUCUUAUGAAAAGAAACCCUCAUUUGUAGGAAUUAAAUUAGUUUGCCUUAUCUCCUUAGUUGAUAGAAAUGCAGUAGUCUUUCUGAUUGAACUUAAAAUAUUCAAGUUACAAGAUACUGGACAUCUCAUUCUAUUUAACACUAUAAAAAGGUAAAUCUAAACCUUCGCAAACAUUUAGGAAUCAAACAGCUUAGGUUAGGAAAGUUAAUCAAAUCUAACUUGAGAUAAUAAGACCCUAAUAGGAAAAUGUGCUUCAACUACAGGAAUAUUCAGUUAUGUAACAACUUCCCAGUCAACUUUCAAAAUCUCUUCUUUAAGGUCACAAAUGUUAACAAUAAAGCAUUAAUUCCUCAACUCAAAAUUCUUAAUGUUUAUAAUUUUCCCUCUUAGCAAUCUUGUAAGUAUUCAUUAUAAUUUUAUUUAGCAUCACUAAAGUUUUGGUAAUUUCCUAUAAAAACACUAAAGACUGUGUAGUAUAACAGCAAGAAUAAAGGAAUACGAUGUAGAUUUCAGAAUGCUGUCUAUACUAUUAUUAACUGUGUGACCUAGGCAAGUUGCAACUCCAGAGCCUUUUCCUUAAACUAUUCAGCAGUACUGCGAAUGUCUGUGAUUAAGAAUUUCAGUACUUUCCUUAUAUGGCGACUAGGUGAGUAACUCCAUAAAUGAAGAAAUGUGUAUCCUCUCAGUCUUGAAGAGUGUCUGGAACAUUAUUCAAUGACUUUGCUAGAUAACGUAAGUAAUCAUUUCUUCCCAAUAGAAAACAUGCUCAGACAUUUCUAACAGAAAACUCACUGAAAAUUAUAACUUUAAGUAACAGAAGGGUGUAGGGAACACAGUUGUUAGGAUACAAAAGAAUUCUCAUGAAACAAUAUUCUAAAUGGUGGUGAUAUUCCUAAACAAUCCCCAAACUCCAUUUUACCCCAUCAUGGCUAUGGCUAAAUUACAAAAAUAUUAGGUUUAAUUUUUGAAUCCUAAACACAGGAGUCCACACAUACAAAGACCCCAAUUCUCUGAAAUUAAGCCACAUCACAAAAUCUAAGAAUUUCUGUGCUGCUUCCAGUUGAUAAGUCAACUUGAAAGAACCAAUACAAGAAUUCCAGGACUUCAGUAUUUCACAGUGAUAAUGAAAGCAAAGAUAACCCUGCAAAUCUGGGGUGUAUGAUAAGUAAAGAAUAAAGCAUGGAAAAUAAAGAAUUUCCUUUUAAUUUCCAAAGGACACUUGACAGCCUCCCUCAUCUCCCAGUUCCUCAAAAGCAUAGUAAUUCCCUUAAAACACUCACCUCCCCACAAUCUUGCUCUAUCAUACCAAAAUGUCCUUUACUCUAUUUUCUCCUCCUAUCAAAACACCUUAUCCUCAGCACAAAGCUGGAAACAGCCAAGGAAGGUUAAAGUAAUCAAAACAAAUAAUUUAUGAGUAAGUCCCAAAUUUUUGCUUGAGGGGAUGGAAAAAAGGAAGUGAGAUUAAAAAAAAAAGACAUUGUUUUAACCUGAGAUCUUGUACACAGACCAGUAUGUUGUAAAAAUUCAAACCAUUUAGCAAAGGGUAACGUAACGUUUAGGACUUGUGUGAAUAUAUAAAGAACUAAGCCAAUACUAAAAACCCCUAUAAUUACUGAUACAUUAUAAUUUUCUAUAAAAGCAUCAUACUGUUUAUUUGACCUCCUGUUUAUGAGGCUAUCUGAAUAAGACUUUUACUAAAUUGCUUAUGCUCUCCUACUUACUAUAGAAUUUAUGAACUAGAAUGAGAACUCUUUGACGCAGGCCUAAAACUAAGCUUUGCUAUGCAGGCUGUACCUGUUCAGCAAAACUUAUCUGGUUCAAGGUUCUAAUAGAUCCUUGCAGUAACAGUGUGAAUACUUUGAAGAAGCAAAACUUAAGCACUGAUCAAAAUUUGGUAGCACAUCAGUCAAUAAGUAUUUGUGGAGGCACUGAAAUUAGCAUUUAUAAGUCAAGAACUGCCUAAAGUUUAUACAAUCAAGUAGUUCAAAACUCUUUAAGAAGGAGGUGGCUAUAACUAACUGUAACAGUCAUUUUAAGCAAUGGUCACUGUGCCCUUAAUUUUCUUGGCCAGUUCCAAUUUCUCAAACUCUCUGCCUGUAUCAAACAAAAUGUCCUCAUUUUUUAAAAAACCCAGCCAAAAGCCUAUCCACGAAAAUAUAUGCCUAUUCUACUUUAUCACAAGGUAUACAAAUCAAACACAACUACUCAACCACUGUUUUUUCCCCAUUACAACUGUACAAGAACAGUAAUGUUCCCUGCUUUUACAAGCAACACCAGCAAUUGCUUUUCACUUCUGAUUAGAGCACUAUGCUGUUUUUGUAUAGCACCUAUUAAAUAUGCUCUUCACAAUGAAGGGUUUACAAGUCAAGAACAUAUGUACUCUCCAAGGGGAGUAUUAUUCGAGGAUUUAGGCAAAAACAGAGCCUAAAUAAGCACAGAGCACCAAAAUAAAUUGCUACUUGCUGAAUCGAAUUAAGUAAUUCUUUGUACCAAAGACAAAAUCUUAAAGUAGGUCCCUAAGAACUCAAGUCAUCUCUCUUCAGUUUCUUCUUUUAACAUGGUCUAUCACUCUUAGUAUACUGAUAUCACGAAAUAUCACAAGUAAAAAUAUACUGGUGAAAAGCUUUAACUUUUUCCAGAACUGAUCUUCUCAAAUGUUGGGUAACUUUUAUUCCCUUUCCCAAAAAGGAAAACACAGACAACUAAGCCCAGACAUUGUCAAAAACUAGCUAAAUGAGGAGAAUUUAAAGCAAUAUAUUAAAUUUUCAAAAAUCAGACAAUUUGUUACACCAGAGAUUCUAUAAAUAUGAAAGUCUUCAAUUUUUUUUUAUUUGUGAAGAUGCCCAUAAGAUCUGGAAGGGACCUUAGGAUUAACUCUUCCGAAAUUGAGAAUAGAACAAGUGUUCAUUUAGCUAAACUCCUUAUAUUAUUUUCACAAUUUUCAGAGACUAAAAAAAUACUAAAUAUUGUAUUCACAAGGGAGAAGCUGCUAAAAGCUUGAAAAGUCCUGACUUUACUCAUGUAUGUAAUAAGCAUUAAGUGAAUGGGUGCUCUAGACAAAUCUACACAGGGGACCCAAAAUGACUGAACAUAGUUACUUAGGAGUACUAAGAGUUUUAACAAGGGUGUUGUGAGAAGAGAGGGGUGGUCUAUCUAAUCCAAUUUUUUUGGAAGUGAUGGGGAAUGCAUUUUAGGAGAAAGAGCUAAGCAGAGCCUUAAGAGACCCAGGAGUGGGGUGAGAGGAUGAGCAUUCUCUAGGCAAAUGAAGACAACAUGAGAAAAAGAACCAAGAUGGUCCACAGCAUCCUCACAAUCCCAGAUUUAUGAAAGAAAUGCAAGGUAAUCCAAAAAAGUCAAUGCAAAUAUGCACUGAUGAAUAUUGAGCUGUCUAUAAAUUUCAUCAGAUUAUCAAGAGAUUUGAACCCUCACAAGGUUAAGAACCACUGCCAUAGGUGCCUUUAGAAGCAGUCAUCUGACUGGAUUAUGGCAGCAAAUUAGAGAAUUAGUAUCAGAGGACUGAAGAUUGGAGAUACUGUGACCAGAGGAAGCUACUGUUAAUAGUGCAACAUACUUGGCAAGAAACAAGGACGUUAACUAGGGAAGACGGAUAAUAAUGGGGAGAAGGUGGUAAGGAAGAGAGUGGAAAAAUAUUUGGAAGGUAAAAUCAGCAAUACUUUGGUGAUUAACUUGACAUGAAGGGAGGAAAGAAUCAUAGAUAGGGUCUUCAGCACUCUAGUUUGGGGAGCUAAAUGAUGCCCACAGCUUAUACAGAAUCCAAGCUGACCUCCCACCCAGUCUCUCCACCCUCCUGAGGAGAGUGGGAGAAAGAACUUGAGAUCAAACAGUGAGCUCAUCUGUAAUCAACCCAUAAUGGUAAGAAAAUGCUAUAUUAGCUUAAAAAAAAUUUACUCCUCUACUCAGAAUUGUAGUCCUCUUUUGAUAAAUGGAUUAGCAGAAAAAAGAGAGAUUUCCAACAUAAACAUUAAAGUGUAAAUAGAAAGCAUUAAAAAUUUUACUUUUGUUGCAGCACCAUAACUGGAACAAUAUAUUCAAAGAACAAUGAUAUCAAUUUCCACUUCCAAACCCAAAUUUUAGAAAAAAAUCAAACUCAAUUUCUAGAAUGAGGACAAACAAGGCCACAGCAAACAUGAUGCCUGCCAGUGAUAGUGACAAACUGUAUGAGUUGGCAGAGAAAGACAGGAAGGUCUCCUUUGCGAUCUUCUCAUCACUUCUGCGACCUUGAGUGAGGGCACCCUCUGGCAGUUUAAGUACUACCUCCAGAAAUUCUAAUUCUGUAGGUCUGGAAGGAAAUUUUCAGGUGAUUCUAACAUCCAGCUAAUUCUGGAUACCAAAGAUACGCUUUAUUAUGGAGCUCUCAAAACCCACAUACACACACAUAGGUGCCUCUAAACAGUAACAUAUAUGUAUUUUAUGUUUCUCCCCUGCCUCAAAAUGCCAAAUAGUUCGCUCAUUCAUUAACAAAUACAAUCAUUUUAGCGUGACAUAGGAUCCUCCAUAAUCUUGAGUCCACCUAUUCAAACUUCAUUUUUCAUCCUCCUCAGGAGCCAAAUUAUCCACUUGCUCAACCACACACAUAAAGACAUCCAGUUCCACUUUGCUCAUGCUGCUUCCAACUGCAGUGCCUAGGAUGCUUUCUCCUCACUGGUCAACACCUAUUCAUUUAACGCUAACACAAUUAAGUUCAGGAGCCAAUUCUACAAGCUCCCAUCCUUCACAAGUAGAACUGGUAACUUCCUUUAGUGUCUUCACUUAACCUAACAUGUAACAUGAACAUGCUUCUAACAUGGUAUCUUUCAUUUUAUUUUCAUGUCUGUCUCUCCUUACUACACUACAGUUCCUUGAGGGUAGAGAAAAUGCCUUACAGUUUUAUCUACAUUGCCUCGCAUCUAUCAAAUAGAAGCAAACUUAAGAGGGAGAAAGAACCCAAUUCUAGAUGUACUAAAAGGCAUACUCAAAGACAUAUUAUUAAAAAGUUGAAAAAUCAAGGGAAAUGAACCAGAUAUUACUGAAUCAAGCACAGUGAAUGUUAGAACCUACAGAAAUAAUUAUACAAAAUGAUUAUUUAAUGGGUCAUAGACUCAUCUUUAAUAUGUUUCUCUUUCUUACAGAAAGGUUUUCCAGACUUUUUUCCUAAAUCGUUAAAAACAAACCCUGUUCCUUAUUAUUUUGCAAAGAAGGCUUGUAGGUCUGUAUCACCUUUGCUUUAGUUCCUGACCUCAACAUAUUCCAAUUACUAAUUUCAAUCUCAAUCAGAUCACUGAUCUGAAUUCAGUACUUACUUUCUGAAAAGGCUAACUAGAUUUAUAACAACAGAUAUGAGUGCAUGUUUUAGUCAUAGUAGAGAGUUGACAAAAUGUGAGAUUUAGGCUCUAAAAAUUUCACAAGUGGAUACAAAGUGAUCUGAACCAAGAUACGGUAGUAAUCACUCUUACUAAAAGGUCCUCUGGGCCAAAUGGUCAAAUACUGUAUGAGCUAAUCACUGAACUUGAUACUAUGAAGUUAGCUGUUACUCAAAAUAAAAACUUUAUGUUGUUUUGUCCCUUAUCAAAAACACAGGAAUCUCUCUGAAAUAAAAGGCUCAGAACAUAAUCUGAAAUUUCAGCUCAUUUACUUGAACAAUUCUUACCAACAUCCAAUUAACAGAGGACUUUCAAACUUUUAAGAAUAUGCUAUAAUUUCUGGUCACCACCACAGAAUAAAUGAAAAAAAAAUUUUUUUUUUUACUUACAGAAGGAUAAAAAAGGUAAUCCUUAGUGAUAUACUAAUAUUUAGCCAAAUUCCUCUAAAGAAAACAGGCCUCCUUAAAAUUAAAAGGGGAUUGGGGGCUUGCUGAG